UAGUUUGUUCUAUGUAAUUAUGUUUAACUCAUCCUAUUAAUAUUGAACAGUGUAUAUGUUCCUAUUCCACAGGCAUUUUAAAUACAUGCUUCUGCUAUUUUAUAAAGUCUCCAGUUAAAAACUCUUCCAGAUAUUGAUUGUUAAAUAGAUUGAUGAUAGAGUAUACCUUAAUGAUCAUUGCAGUUGAGAUGCUUUCAAAUAAUCCUCAAUCACAAAUUGCCAUCUGAACUAUGAUUUGUGAAGGCUUCAUUAUACUGCAAAUAAUAACACCUGUGGUUCUUCUUUUCUCCAUUCCACCCCUCCCCCAUUCUUUUUGGAGUCCAGAUUUUGCCUUGAUUGUGAGAGAAAAGAGAAGAGAAGAGUACACUGUCAGGCAUACGAGCAUAAUCUUUCCUCUAUUUUGCACUGGAAAAGAAUAGAUUUCCACGAUGGUCGCUGAGUAGAAAUGGAAAAAGCUAGUGGUUAAAUAUAUAAAUGCUGAGUAUUAUCCAGAAUUGAUAGAAGACACAGAAUACCCAGAUUAAAGAAACAUAAUAAAACCUACAGUGAG